UCCAGUGUGGCAUAGGGGUUUGAGUGUUGGACUACAACUCUUGAAACCAGGGCUCAAUUCCCUGCUCUGCCA